rnacentral:rRNA from 1 species
AGAGGGACUUUGCGUGUCUAACGCAAGGAAGUUUGAGGCAAUAACAGGUCUGUGAUGCCCUUAGAUGUUCUGGGCUGCACGCGCGCUACACUGAUGCAUGCAACGAGUUUUUGACCUUGGCCGGAAGGUCUAGGUAAUCUUUUGAGUAUGCAUCGUGAUGGGGAUAGAUUAUUGCAAUUAUUAAUCUUCAACGAGGAAUGCCUAGUAGGCGCAAGUCAGCAGCUUGUGCCGAUUACGUCCCUGCCCUUUGUACACACCGCCCGUCGCUGCAACCGAUCGAAGGGUCCUGUGAACUCGAUGGACAGCCCAUCCCCUUCUUGGGGUUGGGCUGGAAGUUGCGUAAAUAGAGCCCUUUAAAGGAUGCAAAAGUCGUAGCACGGUUUCCGUAGGUGAACCUGCGGAAGGAUCAUUCACACAUUUUUUCUUUCAGGACAUGAAAGGUAAUGUGCCUGCUUUGGCGCGAGCCUUUUCGUGUAUCUGUAAGAGUUCUAGGUAACGUUAUUUAACCUUUAUCUAACCUUU